UCCGAUUAUUUUGUGUAAUUUAUACCUUCUACGUGGCAGGUGCGGAUUUAUGGCUUUCGCUGCCGGCCGAUACGGCUCAGACGCAGACCAUUCCGCCAGCCUUGUAGGCACAGACGCGACAUGGGUAUUUGGUUCCUGCUGCCCGGCUGAGCGUGUAGACCACUUAUACCGCUCCUGCACCAGAAAGGGGACGAAUAGGAGGCUUCAUAAAACAAGCUUUUCAAACAGCUGUCAUUUACACUGACUUAGGUAAAGAAUUUGGCUCUCUCACUUCUUGUAAGGAAACUGGAUAUAUUAGAGUCACGUAACGGAUUUCAUAAGCUGCUGGACAGGAUCAGAAAUUGGCUUUGGAACGAGCCAUAAAGCCAACAACUCUAGAUAACUUUCCUGACGAAAGUAUCAACAAGUUGUUCAUCCACAAAUCGCAUUUGACAGUAUUUUAGAAGUUACACGUGAAUUUUCUGCUAAUAAUACCUGCUUUUUUUGCAACCCAAAAAAGGUUCAACUUUAAAAAUUCGGACUAUGCGGUCGAUUUUUAGGUGUAAUAUGUAACCGACCGGCUUGGUUAUGGUCUCUAUGGAAAGGGUCAUCAAAUCUCGGUAAGAAUAGGUAGAAUAAAUGUAUAAUUUUCUUUACAAGUGCAGGAAUACCUGUUUACCGAAGUACUAAUUUUCACAUACUUUUCAACUUUGACGGAGAAAAUAAAGCGAUUCCCUACCAUUCCCUUGGAGUAUGAGGUGUUGUUCUUAAAUAUGUUCUUUAUCAUAAUCAUAAAAGAGAUCGGGUCCCAGGCAAAAGAUACUUUCAACUCAGCGUAAAAAACGCGCGGCUUAAUGCAAAUUCUGCUACAAGCGCAUUUGCUACGCAGUACGAAAUUGUAUGGCGGGCAUACAUUUUUUCCUGUAUUGCGUCGGCUUGUUUUUCAAUCCCUGACUUUGUAAUGAUUUUAAAUGAAUGUAUAAUGAUUAACUAUUCUUCAAAAAUAUUAAAUUAAGUAAAAUUGAA